rnacentral:misc_RNA from 1 species
UUAAGUUCAGCGGGUAGUCCUACCUGAUUUGAGGUCAGAGUCAAAAGUUUCUGCCCAGAGGGCGAGAAGGGUUGUGAGCAGGCUUGACGCAUAGCAAGGGACAAGACGAAACUUAUUACGUCUGUCACGGAUGCAAGCGAUCCCACUAAGUCAUUUGAGGCGAGCCGCGUAACCGGCAGACGCCCAUGUCCAAGUCCGCG